GUGGCUUUCGAAGUCAAUAUGCUGCCCACGAAGAUCAUUAUAUGUAGUUUAGUGUUCCCUGUUUCUAUUUGAGUUGGAGACCACUGUUCUACACAGAAACCAACGUGGUCAUGCUGGGUUGGUCUCCACCUUGUCUGACCAGCUAGGGAACAGAGGGUUGGCAGAUUGUUAAUCUCUCAACAAGUAGCUAGGGGCAGAAGGAGCUAAGGAGAGUAGGGAGGGUCCAAGGCUGUGAUUGUCAGUGGACCAAGGACUGCUGAGAUACGAUAGCAUGGGAGGAGCAGAUAUGGUGGGAAGCUGCUACAAGUAAUUUGAAGAAAGUUUUCACAGACUUGGAGAAUGGCAAAUGUUCCUGUGUUCAAGAGAGAGAGAAAGACAGAGACAAACAGAGAGACAGAGACAGAGGGACAAAGAGAGAUAGAGACAGAGGGAGAGAGACAGAGACAGAGACAGAGAUAGAGACAGAGACAGAGAAAGAGAGAAAGGGGGAGAGAAAGAGGGAGAGGGAGAGGCAGAGAGAGAAAGGGGGAGAGACAGAGGGGGAGAGAGGGGAGAGAGGAAAUGAAGGACAGAGAGAAAGAGAGACGGGGAGAGAGAGAGAGAGAGAGAGAGAGAGAAGAGAGAGAGAGAGAGAGAGAGAGAGAGAGGAGAGAGAGAGACUGGCAUUUGCCAAAGUAUAUGCUGGCAAGCUUGUCUUGAUCACAGCAGCAUGGUAUUGUAGAUAGAGAGAUAUAAUUGAAGUUAGGAAGGCUAUGUGACUCUAGGCAAGUUAAUUAAUCUUUAUCGGCCACAAUUUCCUCUCCGGUGUGGUUGGACUAUGAGUGCAAAGAUAAGAAAAAUGGGUAAGAAGAAUGGAAAGAAGGGGGUCAGAUUAUAAGGAGCUUUAAGGGUCAAGCAGAGUUUACAUUUGAUACCAGAGAAGUGGCUUUCUCUGGCAGAGGAAUCACAUCAUAUCAGUUGUGUGGACAGGUCAGAAAACUGCUCCAGAGAGCAACCAGAAGGAUGCAGCAUUGGACUCCAAUUGCACAGAGCUACACAGACCCAACAGGAGCCAUGAUGGAAGGCAAAUCUAAUGCCACCUGCUGGGAGCUAUGGAAACUACAGACGGAACCAGGGCACAGAGUUGUCCUUCUGGAAGCCCAGCCUAGUACGUGACUUUGUCCCAGAUUUUUAAUGACAGAUCUCUCCUUCUUUGGCUUGAGGUAGUGUCAGGGGAGCAUGUGACCUUCUCACCUUUCCCUAGAUGUUUCAGGAAUCACCCUGACAUUCCCAGUGCAAAUUAUGGAUAACUGAGACAACUGGGAAGAAAGUGAGAUGCUUUCCUGAGCAGCCAGAUCCAUGGAAAGCACUUGGGAAGUGCACGCACUGAGCAGGCAGGAGGAGAGAGAUGCUGUCAAACUGAAGCAAGUGACCAAGAACCAACAUGAAUUUGGGGAGAUAGAAUUGUUUGUGAAGUUCAAGAACAGCUUGGUCUGCAAGCCUCUGGAGGACAUCUUGUUGGUGAGGCAUGGGGUCAUAGGAACUUCCGUACCAGAGAAAGCCAUAAAUUAGAACUGUGUCUUUAAGCUGCAGCACCAGCAAUCUGGGUAGUUUGGAGGCAGAGAGCUGAUCCCCUGGGAAAGGAGAUAACCACCAUUUGCUGGAAGCUCAGGGGAGCUACAAGUAGCAAGGACUAUAGGCAGGAUGGCAAAAGGACUAUAAUCCCACAUAGCCACUGCUAGAAGCUGAUGAGGAUUGUAGGAAAGGAAGGCUACAGCAGACGCAAGCUAUAGGUGGGGCAAUGUUUGAUGCCAAAAGGACUGCAGAAAGGAGUCACGUACAAGAGGUGACAAAAACAAAGGAGGAAGUAACCCUGUUCAGACAGCCAGGAGAGCCAUGGAGGUGAGAACCAAUGAAGAGUAGCAACCCACCAGGGGCAGCUAGGUGGUACAGUGGAUAGAGCACCUGGCCUGCAGUCAGGAAGACCUGAGUUCAGAUGUGACCUCAGACACUGAGCAGCCACGGAACCCUGGAUAAGUCAUUACUUUACUUCUAUCUGCCUAUAAAAUGGGGAUAAUGUAGUACUUACUUUUUUUGUGAGAUUCAAAUGAGAUAAUAUUUGUAAAGUGCUUAGCACAGUGCCUGAAACGUAGUAGAUGCUGUAUAAAUGUAUAUUCCCUUCCUCUUCCCCUCUUUGCCUCUUCCCCUCCUCCCCUUUAGUGUUUUUAUUAAUCAUAUUGUUUCAGUCAUUCAAUAGUCAGCCAGUAAACAUUUAUUCAAUGUUUACUAUGUGCCAGGUACUAAGUGCUAAGUGCAGGAGAUAAUCCUACCCUGGAGGAGCUCACAAUCUAACAGAAGAGACAACAAGUAAACAACUAUGUACAACUUUUUGACUUGUAACAACUUGUAAACUUGUGUUUACUAGAUAAAUAGAAAAUUGUCAACAGAGGGAUUCCAUGCUUAUCACUUGACAUCUAAAAUCAUAACAACUCUAGCUUUUUGGAAACACCCGAAACAUAGCAAAUGUUAUUUCAGAACCUCAAAUAACAAUAAAAAUGAAAAAGGCUCGCA
ensembl:lncRNA